rnacentral:rRNA from 1 species
GUCCACGCCGUAAACGAUGUCGACUAGCCGUUGGGAUCCUUGAGAUCUUAGUGGCGCAGCUAACGCAUUAAGUCGACCGCCUGGGGAGUACGGCCGCAAGGUUAAAACUCAAAUGAAUUGACGGGGCCCGCACAAGCGGUGGAGCAUGUGGUUUAAUUCGAAGCAACGCGAAGAACCUUACCUGGCCUUGACAUGCUGAGAACUUUCCAGAGAUGGAUUGGUGCCUUCGGGAACUCAGACACAGGUGCUGCAUGGCUGUCGU